rnacentral:rRNA from 1 species
UGCAGCAACGCCGCGUGAGGGAUGACGGCCUUCGGGUUGUAAACCUCUUUUAGCAGGGAAGAAGCGAAAGUGACGGUACCUGCAGAAAAAGCGCCGGCUAACUACAUGCCAGCAGCCGCGGUAAUACGUAGGGCGCAAGCGUUAUCCGGAAUUAUUGGGCGUAAAGAGCUCGUACGCGGUUUGUCGCGUCUGCUGGGAAAUCCCGAGGCUCAACUUCGGGUCUGCAGUGGGUACGGGCAGACUACAGUGCGGAAGGGGAGAUUGGAAUUCCUGGUGUAGCGAUGGAAUGCCCAGAUUUCAAGAGGAACGCCGAUGGCGAAGGCAGAUCUCUGGGCCGUAACUGACGCUGAGGAGCGAAAGGGUGGGGAGCAAACAGGCUUAGAUACCCUGGUAGUCCACCCCGUAAACUGUGGGAACUAGUUGUGGGGUCCAUUCCACGGAUUCCGUGAAUUAACUUACGCAUUAAGUUCCCCGCCUGGGGAGUACGGCCGCAAGGCUAAUACUCACAGGAAUUGACGGGGACCCGCACAAGCGGCGGAGCAUGCGGAUUAAUUCAAUGUGUCGCGAAGAACCUUACCAAGGCUUGACAUAUACGAGAACGCUGCAGAAAUGUAGAACUCUUUGGACACUCGU